rnacentral:rRNA from 1 species
GCGGUGUGUUAACACAUGCAAGUCGAGCGCAUCUUCGGAUGAGCGGCAGACGAGAGAGUAACACGUUGGUACCUACCCCAUACUCAGGGAUAACCCUCCGAAAGGAGGGCUAAUACCGGAUGGUCCCGCAAGGGUAAAGCUUUUGCGGUAUGGGAGGGGCCUGCGGCCUAUCAGCUAGUUGGUAAGGUAAAGGCUUACCAAGGCGAUGACGGGUAGUUGAUGUGAGAGCAUGAUCAGCCUCGAUGGGACUGCGACACGGCCCAUACUCCUACGGGAGGCAGCAGUGAAGAAUCUUCCGCAAUGGACGAAAGUCUGACGGAGCAACACCGCGUGAAGGACGAAGGCCCUCGGGUCGUAAACUUCUUUUCUGAGGGAAUAAGUUCUGAAGGUACCUCAGGAAUAAGGCGCUGCUAACUACGUGCCAGCAGCAGCGGUAAUACGUAGGCGCCAAGCGUUAUCCGGAAUUACUGGGCGUAAAGCGUCCGUAGGCGGCUAAAUUAGUCGGGUGUUAAAUUUUCGUGCCUAACGCGAAAAACGUACUCGAAACUGUUUAGCUACGAGUCUGAAAGAGGUCACUGGAAUUCCUACUGGAGGGGUAAAAUCCGUAGAUAGUAGGAGGAACACCAAAAGCGAAGGCAGGUGGCUGGUUCAGUACUGACGCUCAGGGACGAAAGCGUGGGGAGCAAACAGGAUUAGAUACCCUGGUAGUCCACGCCGUAAACGAUGAGUGCUAGGCGUUGAAGAGUUGUUUCGACCCUCUUCAGUGUCCAAAGUUAACACGUUAAGCACUCCGCCUGGGGAGUACGGCCGCAAGGCUAAAACUCAAAGGAAUAGACGGGGGCCCGCACAAGCGGUGGAGCAUGGGGUUUAAUUCGAUCAUAAGCGAGGAACCUCACCUAGGCUUGACAUCUCGAGAAAGCUCUGGAAACAGAGCCGUGCCUUUUGGAACUCGAUGACAGG